UGAUGACUUGGGCACUCUUGUUCAUCAUGCCAUGUAUCAGGCCACAGACAAUCUUUCUCCAUGUAAGGCAAGGCGAAUUCAGUCUCUCAAGAUGCGAUUUUCAGGUACAAUACGGAAAGCAAACAAGAUACUUAAGGGUCUACCUGAUUCUCCACCAAGGAGAAAAUUGAUGCAUCGAAUCGAUCAAAGGGAAUUGGCUCGCUGUGCCAUUUUGAACAUGGAGAAGUCAGUCCAAUUUGAGGACCCUUUAAAGGAUCUCAAACAACUUGAGAUUCUGUGUGGCUGUGGCAGUGAAAGGGUCUACCUUGGAUUGCCUCUUAAGCAUUUGGGUUUGUACCUCAAAGAAGAUGACGAGUUACAGGGUCAGGGCGAGGAGGCUUUUCUGAACGGAGAUCGGGAGGAAGGUGAGAUAUGCUGGCAGGAAGGCGAUUGGGAGGAAGGUGAGAUCUGCUCAUGAAGUACAGUUUUUUUGUGAUUGCUAUUUGAUGGCUAAUGCAACUGAGAGCGAACGGUUUGGGCACGAGGGACAAAAGUAUGUAAGUUUGCAAUAAAACUGAAAUCAAAUUACACGGAAGCUUAUCAAGAACUUGGAGACAAUCUCCCAUCUUCGCAGGUGCAUCAGCAGCAGCUUUCUUUCCCUAUGAACAUAAACCGUAGAGCAAUUCCAAACUCCUGCUAAUCAGUUGCAAAGGUUGUCGCUAUGGAGUGUGUGCCCCACUAGUCUAAUCCCAGCAUUGGCAUUUGCUUCAGUAACCCUGAUAAUCAGUUUGCAGUUUGCAUUGCUGUUGGAGUUGUGUUGCCUUCUUCAUCCCUUCAAUAAUGGUUUAUCAUGGCUAUUUCAGGUGAAAAUGUUAAAGAUUGUGUAUUAGUAUUUGUUUUUGUUAAAUUGAAAAGGAAAAUGGAGUGUCAAAAUUCCCUUACUGAUGGAAUGGUAAUGAUGCAAGACAGAAUCAUUGUAUUUUUGUUGCCUUCAUAGUCGUUGCUUCCUGUCCUAGUUUUUCUUUUCAAUUUUUGGUUUAAUAAAGAAUGGUAAUGAGGCAAGACAGUAUAUUUAGCAUCUUGAGCAACAAAUUAUUCCUUGUUAAAGAAUGCGUCUGCAUCAUUUUGUUGGUUUUGAUUUAAUAACGAUUUCUUGUCAAAGAUGUUCAUUUGCAAAGGUUAUUGGCUGGUCAGUCCUAGCCCCCCAUGUAGUGUGUGUCCCCCCUGUCUAAUCCCAGCAUUGGCAUUUGCAUUAGUAACUUUGAUAAUCAGGUACUCCAUCUUCAUCUCUCCUCUAAACAUACGAAAUAAUCCAAUUCGUGUUUUCUUUGUUUUGUCUUUUGUGGCUUAGAUUUAUC